AUUGAACGCUGGCGGCAGGCUUAACACAUGCAAGUCGAACGAGUGGCGGACGGAUGCGUAAUGCUUCGGAAUCUGGCUUCUGGAGGGGGAUAAAGACGGGAAACUGUCGCUACUACCGCCUACCAUAGGAUGCGCCCAAGUGGGAUUAGGUAGUUGGUGGGGUAAUGGCCUACCAAGCAGACGAUCCCUAGCUGGUCUGUGAGGAGGACCAGCCACACCGGGACUGGUACACGGCCCAGACUCCUACGGGAGGCAGCAGUGGGGAAUCUUCGGCAAUGGACGAAAGUUGACCGAGCAACGCCGCGUGAGUGAAGAAGGGUUUCGGAUCGGAAAACCCUGGUGGGAGGGAAGCGGUAUCUAACCAGAAGUCCACGGCUAACUACGUGCCAGCCGCCGCGGUAAUUC
rnacentral:rRNA from 1 species